rnacentral:rRNA from 1 species
UACGAGGGGGGCUAGCGUUGCUCGGAAUCACUGGGCGUAAAGCGCACGUAGGCGGAUUCCUAAGUCGGUGGUGAAAUCCUGGAGCUCAACUCCAGAACUGCCUUUGAUACUGAAGAUCUUGAGUCCGGGAGAGGUGAGUGGAACUGCGAGUGUAGAGGUGAAAUUCGUAGAUAUUCGCAAGAACACCAGUGGCGAAGGCGGCUCACUGGCCCGGUACUGACGCUGAGGCACGAAAGCGUGGGGAGCAAACAGG